GAUGAACGCUGGCGGCGUGCCUAACACAUGCAAGUCGAGCGAUGAAACCGCCUCCGGGCGGACAUGAAGCGGCGAACGGGUGAGUAACACGUGACCGACCUGCCCCCCGCCCAGGGACAGCCCCCCGAAGGGGGGAUUAAUACCUGGUACUCCGGCAAGGACGCAUGUCCUGGCCGGGAAAGCCUUGGCGGCGGGGGAUGGGGUCGCGGCCCAUCAGGUAGACGGCGGGGCAGAGGCCCACCGUGCCGACGACAGGUAGCCGGGUUGAGAGACCGACCGGCCACAUUGGGACUGAGAUACGGCCCAGACUCCUACGGGAGGCAGCAGUGGGGAAUUUUGCGCAAUGGGGGCAACCCUGACGCAGCAACGCCGCGUGCGGGACGAAGGCGUCCGCGUCGUAAACCGCUUUCAGCGGGGAACACUUCAACGAGGGUACCCGCAGAAGAAGCCCCGGCUAAAUACGUGCCAGCAGCCGCGGUAACAC
rnacentral:rRNA from 1 species